GGACUACACGGGUAUCUAAUCCCGUUCGCUCCCCUAGCUUUCGUGCCUCAGCGUUAGGAAAGACCCAGUGAGCCGCUUUCGCCACUGGUGUUCCUGAUGAUAUCAACGCAUUUCACCGCUCCACCAUCAGUUCCGCUCACCUCUGUCUCCCUCGAGCACGGCGGUUUGGGACGCUAUUCCCCGGUUGAGCCGGGGGAUUUCACAUCCCACCCUCCGCGCGGCCUACGCACCCUUUAAGCCCAGUGAUUCCGAGUAACGUUCGGACGGUUCGUAUUACCGCGGCGGCUGGCAC
rnacentral:rRNA from 3 species